rnacentral:RNase_P_RNA from 1 species
AGUAAGCCGGACAGUCGCGGGGACAAGGCGAAAGCCUGUUCAUGAGGAAAGUCCGGGCUCCACAGGGCAAGGAUAACGGGUAACGCCCGCCGAAGGCAACUUCAGGAAAAGUGCAACAGAGAUAUACCGCCCGGCUCCGCCGGGUAAGGGUGGAAAGGCGAGGUAAGAGCUCACCCAUCGGCUGGGAACAGUCCGAUGCUGUAAACUCUAUCCGGAGCAACACCGGUAUGGGAGCAAUAGGCUGGCCCGGCCGCUCCCGGGGUGGCUUGAGCGCCGCGGCAACGCGGCGCCUAGAUAGAUGACUGUCUAAGACAGAACCCGGCUUAUAGACUUACUCG